GCCCCCAUAGUAUAAUUAAUUA
rnacentral:tRNA from 1 species